CUUCGGGUCUAGCGGCGGACGGGUUAGUAACGCGUGGGAAUAUACCCUUCACUACGGAAUAGCCUCGGGAAACUGGGAGUAAUACCGUAUACGCCCUUUGGGGGAAAGAUUUAUCGGUGAAGGAUUAGCCCGCGUCUGAUUAGAUAGUUGGUGGGGUAAUGGCCUACCAAGUCUACGAUCAGUAGCUGGUUUGAGAGGAUGAUCAGCAACACUGGGACUGAGACACGGCCCAGACUCCUACGGGAGGCAGCAGUGGGGAAUCUUAGACAAUGGGCGCAAGCCUGAUCUAGCCAUGCCGCGUGAGUGACGAAGGCCUUAGGGUCGUAAAGCUCUUUCGCCAGAGAUGAUAAUGACAGUAUCUGGUAAAGAAACCCCGGCUAACUCCGUGCCAGCAGCCGCGGUAAUACGGAGGGGGUUAGCGUUGUUCGGAAUUACUGGGCGUAAAGCGCACGUAGGCGGAUUGGAAAGUAUGGGGUGAAAUCCCAGGGCUCAACCCUGGAACGGCCUUGUAAACUCCCAGUCUAGAGUUCGAGAGAGGUGAGUGGAAUUCCAAGUGUAGAGGUGAAAUUCGUAGAUAUUUGGAGGAACACCAGUGGCGAAGGCGGCUCACUGGCUCGAUACUGACGCUGAGGUGCGAAAGUGUGGGGAGCAAACAGGAUUAGAUACCCUGGUAGUCCACA
rnacentral:rRNA from 1 species